GAUGCUAUUGAGUUCAUUUCUGCAAAGUGCUGAAUGCUUUUUGAUGAUGCCAUCAAAGAUUGAGGCCCUGACUAGAAAGUUAAUUAAAGAAUCUGAAGCUUACUGCUUGAUGGCCUCACUUGGUUGGUACAGUAUGACAACAGGUAAUAGAUACAAUAACAGUAAAACAGUCAUCAUCACUGCUGGGACUGGAAACCCCCACCACUGCUUUUUUAGCUUUCCUCAGCUGGAAAGUUUUGACAUCUGCUGGUUUGGGACAUAGCUGAACAGCUG
rnacentral:lncRNA from 1 species